AAUGAACGUUGGCGGCGUGGAUUAGGCAUGCAAGUCGCGCGACAAGGAACCUUCGGGUUCUGGAGGAGCGGCAAACGGGGUAGUAAGGCAUCGGAACGUACCCUCUUGUUGGGAAUAGCCGCGGGAAACUGCGAGUAAUGCCCAAUAAUCCCUACGGGGCAAAGGUCCGCCGCAGGAGGAGCGGCCGAUGUGAUACCAGCUAGUUGGUGAGGUAAUGGCUCACCAAGGCUUAGACGUCUAGGGGGUGUGAGAGCAUGGCCCCCACCACUGGGACGUGAGAUACUGCCCACGACACCUACGGGUGGGCUGCAGUCGAGAAUCUUCGG
rnacentral:rRNA from 1 species